GUCGGCUUAGCUCAGUGGUAGAGCGCGCGACUCCAGUCAAUGGCUUUAUCGUGCGGUCAACGGUUCAAUCCCGUUAGCUGACU